UACAGACCAUAAACUCCCCUUGAAAUACGACAGCACAGUUGGUAGACGGACUAUAUAAGCAAUAAAAUAAAUAAACAAAUAAAUAAAGCUGCACGACACAAACCUACAAAAUAAAUCACCUUCCCUAUUGUCAAGGUAAGCGUAGAUAGGGUAUGUAAUAUCACAUAGGUUGCGUCACCAAUUCACUGCAGAAGCUUACCAGUUACCAUGGAAGUCAUGUUCUCUGGCUUCAUUUUGUAACAGUUUCCAGGUUAAUUGGCAGUGAGUAAUUAGUCACAGCUACUGAUUAAUUAACUGAUUCUAAACUAAGUUAGAAGAAUUAAGGGACUGCUACCUAUUUCUUACUCUAGGGGAGACAGAUAUCGAGACGCGCGGUUCCACUUUGUCCAGUGGUACCUAAAAGUGAACUGGCUUCAAUCACAAUGAGAGCAAAGCUCAAAGCUACUUGUGUUCAAUCUACUUCUUUCCAGUGAAGUGGCUGAGUGUCUGUGAACGGUUUCUGAUGCUGCGGUGAGUUGGGCGCAGCUAUCAGACGCGCUCCCGCCAGGCCAUUCUCUUGGUGUACCUAUUCUUUGGGAACUGAAGCUUGAAUUCUCUGGGUAACAAAAGAAUGAGGAGAUCGCUUACAAAUUCUGCUGUGAGAAAUAUAGACUGGGCUUGGGAAAUUUUACUGACUGUCAAGUAAAAUAAAUACUUACUAAUCUGAGUAGGAAAAAAGCAUUAUUUGCAGGAUUUCCUAAAUAAUAAUAAUAAUAAUAAUAAUAAACUAGUAUGACUUGGAUGUGAUACUGGAAAGAGAGCACUUUAAUAUGAGUUUAGAAAACAGAUAACUGGGUAGACCAUAGGUUUACGUCUCAAAAGCCUUGAAAAAUGAUCACUGCCUAAAAGAAAGAAAGAAAAAAAAAAAAAAAAAGAGAGAGAAUGAAAAGUUAAAAAAGCUCUUGUGGUCAGCCUGUCACAUAUUUCAGUGAGAAACUCUACAGGAAAGUUGGUUCCCCCUGCUCGCUCCGGCUGUGGGGUUAGAACCUCAUUUCCUGUAACCGAAGUCUUGUGAAUAAAAAUGUAGUCAAGCCUCUGCCCUUUAUCGUCUACAAAGAAGGCUGUGAAACUCUUUUGUCCCAUUCAACUCAUCAAAGAUGAUAGAGAUCUCAAACAAAGGUCGCUGUUUAAGACUGUGUGACGUUCAACGGCAGAAUCUGGAACGCUCACCCAUAGCAGGGCACAUCUGAAUCAGUUUGAGACAUGAUUACAUUUAGUAACAUAAUACAUUAUCUCCUCAAGAGUUUCUGCUAGAAUCCAGACUCUAAACGAAGCUUUGGGUCCCUCACAUUGCCCUGUCAUGGGCCAUAAUGUAGUCUUUUAUCAUCGUACUUUUCAAUUAGAUCAUGACUUUUAACAUGCGGAGUUGGAAAUUCUGGUUACCCAUGAAAAACUAUUAAAAGAUAGUGCCUGGAAAACAUAGAAGCCAUCCAAACACUCUGGUGCUGUAGGAAAUAUGUCCCUGUGCAGCUCUCCCAUGGGAAGGGUGUCGUCGCUUCCAGGCUUUUGUGGCAAUCAGUACCUACGUGGCUGCUUAACAGGCAGAAGCCCUAAUAAUAAGCAUCUCAUUAGAAGAGCAGUAAACGGUUCUGUCACUGAUUUGGAAAAUGUUGAGACGAAGCAGCGUUUCCCCUCGUGGGAGACUCAGGAUCCCUCAAAAACAUCACUAACGUGUUCCUUCAGGUCAGCCAGGCCCCUAGCGCUUCGGUUUCUUAUCUGGAAUCCCAGCGAAACAGACUCAAGUGCCUCCCUGCAGAAGGUUGAUUUUGGGAGGCUCGUUCUCUUCAUUAGGCAGUGGAGGGUUCUGAAGAACAGCUUGUUUAGCUCCUGGAAAAAAAGAAAACCCACACCCAUUUUACAAAAUCCAGUCUGUUGUGAACUUCAUUCUUAGUAUUUAACCAUACAAGCAAAACAUUUAUAACAAUGCAUAAAGCAGGAAAUUAAUGUAAAGGCCGCUAAGCUGUCAGAAGAAAGGGUGACCUUUGAUGUUGGAAAUCACCGGAGGUUUCCCCGGUUCUGCAUGGGUACGUCAUGGAGUGCUUCACUCAAGGCAUUUUAAGUCUGUGAUCCUUAUGUAUUUAUUUAUUUUUAAAGGCAAAUUUAGAUGUAUGCUCUACGUACGUGUCACUGUAAGACACAA